rnacentral:rRNA from 1 species
AUACGGAGGAUCCGAGCGUUAUCCGGAUUUAUUGGGUUUAAAGGGUGCGCAGGCGGCCAUUUAAGUCAGCGGUUAAAUCGUGGGGCUCAACCCCAUUCUGCCGUUGAUACUGGGUGGCUUGAUUGCGGUCGAGGUUGGCGGAAUUCGUUGUGUAGCGGUGAAAUGCAUAGAUAUGACGAAGAACACCGAUUGCGUAGGCAGCUGACCAGACCGCAAAUGACGCUCAUGCACGAAAGUGCGGGGAUCGAACAGGAUUAGAUACCCUGGUAGUCCGCACAGUAAACGAUGAAUACUUGUUUUCGGCGAUAUAAUGUCGGAGGCAAAGCGAAAGCGAUAAGUAUUCCACCUGGGGAGUACGCCGGCAACGGUGAAACUCAAAGGAAUCGGCGGGG